ACUGCAAGCCUUGCAUACAUAGAGUAAUCUGCUAUAUACAGCCUACCAAGUUUGACUACUUCCUCAAAGGAAGCUUCCUGGUAGUGCCCUUUAAUACAGUUCCUCAUGUUGAAGUGGCGACCUCCACCCCAACCAUAACAUUAUUUUCCUUGCUACUUUAUAAGUGUAAUUUUGCUACUGCUAUGGAUUGUAAGUAUUUGACAUGUAGGAUAUCUGAUACGUGAUCCCUGUGAAAGGGCCACUGGAUUCCUUCCCAGUGGGGUCCAUACCCACAGGUUCAGAACUCCUUAUCUAGAGGAACCUGAAAGGUUAGUGAGAUUGUAAGAGUUCCACAGUGCUGUGAAAUUGAACAAGCAAUGAACCACAGAGAUGCGCUAAUUUGUUCACAAGGAACAAAGGAGUAAUUUCUUCCUCCUCUUUGGGUCUAUGAAAAGGUUCCUUGCAGUGGGGGUUUUGAGAUUUUAUUUCUACCAUCUUAUUUGUUAUUUCUACUAUCUUUUCCAAUAGGUCAUUUUCCCUUAAACCAUGAAGCGCCUCCAUUUAAUUGUGAGCACCUGAGUACCUCGCCCUUUAGGGAGAAUACAAAGUUCCUUCUGCAGUCUUCAUUGGCUUUGGACAGACUCUUUCUAUGGGUGCUAGUGGGCUGCACAGUCAGGCUUACUAGCGUGUUUUCCUUGCUGUCUGUCCUUUUGCCUCCAGGUUAUUAAAAGCAAUGGGGUGGCAGGAGUACCCUGAAAAUGAUGAGAGCUGCCUUCCACUCACAGAGGACGAGCUCAAGGAGUUCCACCUGAGAACAGAGCAGGUCUGUACUGAGCUCUAAGCCUUCAGUGACUCCCAGUGAAAUGUUUGCAGUGGCCUUGCCUUUAGGAAAUUUCUAGUGUUUAUUUGCAGUUUGGGGACCAGUUUUUGCUGACGGGAUCUCGACAGGUACAUGCCUUUAUUCCCAGCCUGGGCUUACAGAGUUCUAUGUCUCAAAACUGUAAAACAGACC
rnacentral:lncRNA from 1 species